AUGCUCUUCACGUACAUCUCCAUGAUCUGCCGCUGCAUCGCGCUCUGCUCCGCCUCCAUGUCGAUGACGUCGCCGGCGGCCAUGGGAGACUUGAAAACGUCGACCUUCUCCUUGCCAUACGCCGGUCCUCCGUUGGACGUCGGCGUGUCCGGCGCGCCGCAGCACAUCGGCGCCGACACGGUGGCCUCGUGGGCGCCGUCGUGCCGAUGCGGCUUCUCUGUCGCCGCCGAGGAGGAGACAUCGAUCGCCCUGUCGUCGCUGGUCGUGGUGGUCGGCGAGGGAGGAAAAAUGGAGCCGAGUGCACACGGGGGACGGCGCAUCAUCCAUGUCCACUAUGUGUGCUCUUUUCCCGUUGCUUCUUGUCCACACCCUUGCACCGCAAUUCUUGGCCUCGACGGGUCAGCCACGGCCAUCGGGUAG
rnacentral:rRNA from 1 species